UGUACGGAAACUUAGCGAUAAGAAAAUAGACUAUUGGUUAAAUAAAUUUAAAUUUAAGUGUGUUUUAGAAGAAGAGGAACUUUCAGUAUAUUCCUUAAGAUGAGCUGAGCAGCAGUCCAGUUUACAAGAUGACAAGAGUUCGAGAGACAAGAUACAAGAUCACUGAAACAAGAGCCAAGACUGAAGAUUCAAGAGAAGAGAAAGCUGGCAGCCAUGGACUUACAAGUGGAGAUUAAUAAGGUCAUGUAAAGUUUUAUUUUUUUUUAUGGAAGACAGUAACUGGAGUUUUUUUUGUUAUAAACAUUAUUUACAGAACUUUUUAGGUUAUAGUAAUGUAAUGGAACUAGUGAGUUGUGGUAGCUGUCAAAAAGAACUAAUACCUUAAGUUUAAUUUUUAAAGUUAAUUUUCUUAAUUUACAGAGGGAUUAGUAGUUUUUUUUUUAAAACCUUAUUUAGGUUGGAAUUUAAAUACAAUAGCUUAUUAUAAAUGUGUACGAACAGUUCAAGUUCACAGUACUGAUAGGUAGGUCAGAUGAUCUUAUUGAUUUUGAUGAUUUGUUGUUUUGAGUUGAUUUUUAAGUGUUGUGAAUUAGACAAUGAAAUAGUUCUGAAAACUUAAAUUAUUUCAAGCUAAGAAAUAGUAAAGUUAAUUGUAACUCAAAGGACACCAGAAUUUAAUUUUUUUUUGAAUUAGUAAUGUUUGAAAAUUUUAUACUUUACAAGAAAGGUUAUAAACAAACAGAUCGGAUGGAACAAGGAUGCAGUAAAUCACAAUUUCAUUUAGAAUUAUUGAUUAGCUUUUGAGGUUAUGAAGUAAAAGUAAUUAUAGUUUAAAAGUUUGAAUAAAAAAAAAUGUUUUUUUUUAUUUGUUUGAAAUAGAAAGUUUAAAAGUUAAUUAGUCAUGAUCUAGGUGGGUGAUGGGGUGGGAAUUGGCCACUCUUUUUCCCUAUAACCUCCCUAACAUGGCCUUCUAUUACAACUAACAGAAAUAAAGAAGAAGAAAAAUGAAGAAUUAUUAGUUAGAAUGUUUCUUUCAUGAAGAUACCUGAUGAACUUUUACUGUUUGGAAGAAUAGAAGCAAGGUUAGUCAGAUAUUUUUACUCAGAAGAAGAAGAAGAUAAAGCAGUUUUAUGACUCGACAAGCCAGAGAUUGGUGUUUCCCCUCUGCGCUUCUAUUGACUACGUUGUUUACUCUCAUGGGAUAGCUGGUUCGGCACCAUGGAGAGAGAUUGGUGGGCAUUGUGGUUGCCCCCAGAAGAAAAGAAGAGUAGAAGAGGUUAUGGGUGGGUCAUGUGAACUGACCUUCAACCCAGUUACUUCGUGGGGACUAUUUGCUGUAUAGAGAAGAUCAAGACUCAAGAGUUAGGGAAAAUCAUUGGAGGUCAUGUUUCCCUUCCUUAAGUUUUUCCUAUCAAAUUAUUUGCCUGAUUAGAUUAUGCUAAGGGUGGGAUACUUUAUGUUAGCAGUUGAAUUAAUUAAUUUUAUUUUUUUGUGUGUUUGCAUCCUUGCCCAUCGAUUGCAGUUUAGUAGUUAGUUUUGUAUUUGUCAGGCGUGAUGGUAAUGCCUGUUGAUGAUGUUUCAGAAUUGUAAUCUGUUCGUGAUGAGGAUGGCACAACUCCGAAGCAGAUGUGGGGAGAAGUUGUGAGCUGCCCUGGAAGCCAGUCCAGUAGCUGUUGGAGUUGAGUGGUGUUUGCUGAUGGCCAGCCCAGGGAGCUACUCUUCUCGACAACACUGACUUCGAGGAGUUGCACCAACCUUCACGAGAUAAGAGUUUAAUUAAUUGAAACACUGUAAGGACACUUAAUUUUUUUUGAAGAACGAAAGAAGUAUGGUAAUAAACGGAAACCGAAAAAAAAAAAA